UCCUUGGUGAAUCAUGAUAACUUUACGAAUCGCAUGGCCUUGCGCCGGCGAUGGUUCAUUCAAAAUUCUGCCCUAUCAACUUUCGAUGUUAGGAUAGAGGCCUAACAUGGUAGCGACGGGUAACGGGGAAUUAGGGUUCGAUUCCGGAGAGGGAGCCUGAGAAACGGCUACCACAUCCAAGGAAGGCAGCAGGCGCGCAAAUUACCCAAUGCCGACACGGCGAGGUAGUGACAAUAAAUACUGAUCCAGGGCUNUUAUGGGUCUUGGAAUUGGAAUGAGUACAAUUUAAAUACCUUAACGAGGAACAAUUGGAGGGCAAGUCUGGUGCCAGCAGCCGCGGUAAUUCCAGCUCCAAUAGCGUAUAUUAAAGUUGUUGCAGUUAAAAAGCUCGUAGUUGAACCUUGGAACGGGCCGCUCUGUCCUCCUAAUCGAGCGUACGGAGUCGGCCGGUUCUUUCCUUCUGGGGAAUCCGAUGCCCUUCACUGGGUGUCGCGGGGAACCAGGACUUUUACUUUGAAAAAAUUAGAGUGUUCAAAGCAGGCCUUUGCUCGAAUAUCUUAGCAUGGAAUAAUGGAAUAGGACAUCGGUUCUAUUUUGUUGGUUUCUAGGACCGCUGUAAUGAUUAAUAGGGAUAGUCGGGGGCGUCUGUAUUCAAUUGUCAGAGGUGAAAUUCUUGGAUUUAUUGAAGACAAACUAUUGCGAAAGCAUUCGCCAAGGAUGUUUUCAUUAAUCAGUGAACGAAAGUUAGGGGAUCGAAGACGAUCUUUGGUGGGUAUUUGGUCGUCGACAGUAAAUCGUCGUUACUAGCCUAAAUGCUUCCGUCUGGGAAUAUUGGGGUGAUACCACCUAAUUGAGGAGCCCUAUAAAUUUUCUUUUAUAGUGAUCCACAGCCAAAUUUUAUGCUGUGAUAAGCAUAGAAUGCAGUUUACAGACUGUCUGGUGGAAGGUUGGGAAGUCGUUCCCAGCUUGAGAUAUAGCCGGUCCCCUGUGGCGAUCACAGUUGGGAUAAACGCAGAUACCGUCGUAGUCUUAACCAUAAACGAUGCCGGCAAGGGAUUGGACAGUGUUUCCUUUAUAUGACCUGUUCAGCACCUUACGAGAAAUCAUUAGCGUUUGGGCUCUGGGGGGAGUAUGGUCGCAAGGCUGAAACUUAAAGAAAUUGACGGAAGGGCACCACAAGGCGUGGNNCCUGCGGCUUAAUUUGACUCAACACGGGAAAACUCACCAGGUCCAGACACAAUAAGGAUUGACAGAUUGAGAGCUCUUUCUUGAUUUUGUGGGUGGUGGUAGAACACUUACAUGUGCCACCUACAGCUUUACGGGCGCUGAACCGUAAUCGCUAGUCCACGACAGUGGGCAACGUUCUUCUGUUGCUGAAAAUGAAAUACUGCCAAUGGCAGCUAUCAGCAGCCACCAACUGUGCAGGUUGGCUGGUUCACAGACUAAGUGAGGACGGACUAUCAUGAAGCCGUUGAAAACCAGAGAAAUUUCAACCAUGGGCUUUAUGUAGAUUGAGAUAUAGUCGAGCCUUGCUCUUUGAAGAGUUGAAGUACAGUGGCAUGGCCGUUCUUAGUUGGUGGAGUGAUUUGUCUGCUUAAUUGCGUUAACGAACGAGACCUUGACUUACUAAAUAGCCAGGCUGACUUUGGUCGGUCGCAGGCUUCUUAGAAGGACUUUGGGCUCAAGCCCAAGGAAGUACGAGGCAAUAACAGGUUGACCCUCUUCACAGGCCUGUUUAACUAUUUGUCGUCGGAGCGUGACGCUCUGGCAAUACCACUGGCACAGAGAAUGCUGCAGACACUGUGGCUGAUUCUGUGAUGCACCUUCUAUGGUCAUCUCAACGCCCGGUAAGUGGUAGGCCUACCUGGAAGGUAGGCUUCUGGUACGCGCUAAACCCCUGCUAUUUCGCAGGUUCUCUUGGUACCCUUUGCUGUGAUGCCCUUAGUCGUACAGACUUUCUAGGGGCAAGAAAUAAUGCCAGCACCUUUAACGGUGCGAUACCUCGCUCGUUCGAGAAGUUGUAAUCGACAACUCGAGGUCCGGAAGAGAUCGAUCUGCUGUCGGCUAGAUUGACCUUCGGAUUCAGAGACUAGAUAGAGGUGGGGGAUUGUGGAAGACCGUCCUCUAAGGUAUAGCCCGCACUCCACGCUUCACCGUGGAGAUCUAUGUGUAGAUGUUCUGGGCCGCNCGCGCGCUACACUGACAGGGCCAGCGAGUACACCACCU
rnacentral:rRNA from 1 species